rnacentral:tRNA from 1 species
UAGCAGAUAUUCUAAUAAAGAUAUUUGAUUUCGGCUCAAAAGACAGUGGUUAAACUCCACUUCUGUUAC